UGGGGAAUAUUGCACAAUGGGCGAAAGCCUGAUGCAGCAACGCCGCGUGAGUGAUGAAGGUCUUCGGAUUGUAAAGCUCUGUCUUUUGGGACGAUAAUGACGGUACCAAAGGAGGAAGCCACGGCUAACUACGUGCCAGCAGCCGCGGUAAUACGUAGGUGGCGAGCGUUGUCCGGAUUUACUGGGCGUAAAGGGUGCGUAGGCGGAUGUUUAAGUGAGAUGUGAAAUACCCGGGCUUAACUUGGGUGCUGCAUUUCAAACUGGAUAUCUAGAGUGCAGGAGAGGAGAAUGGAAUUCCUAGUGUAGCGGUGAAAUGCGUAGAGAUUAGGAAGAACACCAGUGGCGAAGGCGAUUCUCUGGACUGUAACUGACGCUGAGGCACGAAAGGCGUGGGUAGCAAACAGG
rnacentral:rRNA from 1 species